UACGGAGGGGGCGAGCGUUGUUCGGAGUUACUGGGCGUAAAGCGCACGUAGGCGGUGCGGUAAGUCAGGGGUUAAAGGCUGCAGCUCAACUGCAGUAAGGCCUUUGAUACUAUCGUGCUAGAGUGUCAGAGAGGAUGGCGGAAUUCCCGGUGUAGCGGUGAAAUGCGUAGAUAUCGGGAGGAACGCCGGUGGCGAAGGCGGCUUCCUGGCCCGUUACUGACGCUGAGGCACGAAAGCCAGGGGAGCGAACCGG
rnacentral:rRNA from 1 species